UACGGAGGGUGCGAGCGUUAAUCGGAAUUGCUGGGCGUAAAGCGCGCGUAGGCGGCUUUGUAAGUCAGGGGUGAAAGCCCACGGCUCAACCGUGGCAUUGCCUUUGAUACUGCAGAGCUUGAGUUCGGGAGAGGGUGGUGGAAUUCCAGGUGUAGGAGUGAAAUCCGUAGAGAUCUGGAGGAACAUCAGUGGCGAAGGCGACCACCUGGCCCGAUACUGACGCUGAGGUGCGAAAGCGUGGGUAGCAAACAGG
rnacentral:rRNA from 1 species